rnacentral:rRNA from 2 species
GGGUUGUGAGGUUAAGCGACUAAGCGUACACGGUGGAUGCCCUGGCAGUCAGAGGCGAUGAAGGGCGUGCUAAUCUGCGAUAAGCGCCGGUAAGGUGAUAUGAACCGUUAUAACCGGCGAUACCCGAAUGGGGAAACCCAGUGUGACUCGUCACACUAUCAUUAACUGAAUC